GGAGGUAGGGGCGUGCUAUAAUGCAAGUCGAGCGGACUAAUGGGAGCUUGCUCCCGUUAGUUAGCGGCGGACGGGUGAGUAACACGUGGGCAACCUACCUGUAAGACUGGGAUAACUUCGGGAAACCGGAGCUAAUACCGGAUGACAUAAAGGAACUCCUGUUCCUUUAUUGAAAGAUGGCUUCGGCUAUCACUUACAGAUGGGCCCGCGGCGCAUUAGCUAGUUGGUGAGGUAACGGCUCACCAAGGCGACGAUGCGUAGCCGACCUGAGAGGGUGAUCGGCCACACUGGGACUGAGACACGGCCCAGACUCCUACGGGAGGCAGCAGUAGGGAAUCUUCCGCAAUGGACGAAAGUCUGACGGAGCAACGCCGCGUGAGCGAUGAAGGCCUUCGGGUCGUAAAGCUCUGUUGUUAGGGAAGAAUAAGUGCUAGUUGAAUAAGCUGGCACCUUGACGGUACCUAACCAGAAAGCCACGGCUAACUACGUGCCAGCAGCCGCGGUAAUACGUAGGUGGCAAGCGUUGUCCGGAAUUAUUGGGCGUAAAGCGCGCGCAGGCGGUUUCUUAAGUCUGAUGUGAAAGCCCCCGGCUCAACCGGGGAGGGUCAUUGGAAACUGGGAAACUUGAGUGCAGAAGAGGAAAGUGGAAUUCCAAGUGUAGCGGUGAAAUGCGUAGAGAUUUGGAGGAACACCAGUGGCGAAGGCGACUUUCUGGUCUGUAACUGACGCUGAGGCGCGAAAGCGUGGGGAGCAAACAGGAUUAGAUACCCUGGUAGUCCACGCUGUAAACGAUGAGUGCUAAGUGUUAGAGGGUUUCCGCCCUUUAGUGCUGAAGUUAACGCAUAAGCACUCCGCCUGGGGAGUACGGUCGCAAGACUGAAACUCAAAGGAAUUGACGGGGGCCCGCACAAGUGGUGGAGCAUGUGGUUUAAUUCGAAGCAACGCGAGAACCUUACCAGGUCUUGACAUCCUCUGACAACCCUAGAGAUAGGGCUUUCCCUUCGGGGACAGAGUGACAGUGGUGCAUGGAUUGUCGUCAGCUCGUGUCGUGAGAUGUUCGAUUAGUUCCGGCAGCGACGCACCCUUGAUCUAAGUUGCCAGCAAUCAGUUGGCACUCUAAGUGACUGCCGGUGACAA
rnacentral:rRNA from 1 species